rnacentral:rRNA from 1 species
GACGAACGCUGGCGGCGUGCUUAACACAUGCAAGUCGAACGAGAAUCAAUGGAAAGAGACUUCGGUCAAUGGAAGUUGAGGACAGUGGCGGACGGGUGAGUAACGCGUGAGGAACCUGCCUUUCAGAGGGGGAAUAACACACCGAAAGGUGUGCUAAUACCGCAUAACAUAUGGAGUUCGCAUGAACACUAUAUCAAAGAUUUAUUGCUCAAGGAUGGGCUCGCGUCCGAUUAGGUAGUUGGUGAGGUAACGGCUCACCAAGCCGACGAUCGGUAGCCGGACUGAGAGGUUGAACGGCCACAUUGGGACUGAGACACGGCCCAGACUCCUACGGGAGGCAGCAGUGGGGAAUAUUGCACAAUGGGGGAAACCCUGAUGCAGCGACGCCGCGUGAAGGAUGAAGGUCUUCGGAUCGUAAACUUUUGUCUUCAGGGACGAUAAUGACGGUACCUGAGGAGGAAGCCACGGCUAACUACGUG